CAGAGGAGGAUCAAUGCUAUGAGGUGUGCAGGACUGUUUUUUCUUUCCCUGUGUCAGUGCAGCGUGUGUGCUUGUGUGUUCCCUGGUUACUGUAGUGGAAAGGGAACAGGGGGGAUGUGGGGUUGGACGGUGGAUCGAUGAGGCAUUUGUUUUGUUUAGGUAAAUGAUGUGGUGGAGACGGACAACAGCACUCCGUCUUCUAUCCCUAAGGAGAUAGAAGACAAAUGGCUAUUAGUGUCCCAUCAUCCCUCUCUUUCUCUCUCUGUCUCACUCUCUCUUUCUUUCUCUCUCACUACGGGACUGGCAUUUAUGUUCUACUGGGUAGGGCUGUGAGCCAGUCUGGUGGACUUUGAUGGUAUUUACAGAGUGUGAAUGACCAUAUAGGAAGCCUGGCCUUUGAUAAACAGUAUCAGAGGCUGUACUGUACAUUCAGAGCACCUGUGAUCAUAUAAUUAAAUCAAGGCUAAAAGGUCAGAGAGGGAGUCUUUGUUACGGUUUUAAUCAGCUGUCAUUAUGCAGAUGAGACUUUAAGCUCAACAAACAGGUGAUAGCAGAGCUAGGAGGAAUCGUUUUAUUGGUGUUUAAACUUUGGCUGAAUUUUAAACUGCUUACUAAGUACUAACAUGACAGGGAGUAUGCGGUAUGUGCUGCAUACAGUCUGUACCAACAUAACGAACGUGGAGCAUCUCCUUGUCUCUAAUGUUUCGGCACAGCGGCACCAAAUUGUAGCAGAACUCUAAGAAUUUAGCGCAGAGGCUUAGACUUGUGGUUUCCCCUUCAAAACAACAUUAAUGGUUGACUAAAUUAAUGACUUUAAUCUUGUACAUGAAGACUUUAAUCUUAAAAGCUUCAUUUUUGUCCCACUUCGAUCAUUUUUUACUACUUUAAGUGUUCUCAGUGGUCUUUAAAUUGUGAUUAUGAAGUUUUUAGCCAAGAUCAUGUUACCUGUGUCAUUUUCAAGGGCUUUUCUUCUGCAGAGCUCCAGUAGAUCAUUAGCAAUUUUUAUCUGAGUCGUGGGCAGAGACAGUGCUGCUCUGCACACUCCUCUUCAUGCUAGCUUGCAGCCUAACAUUGCUGUUGUAGUAGAAGUAGCAGGUAAAACAGGAACUAUUCAGCUCUUGGACACUAAUUCCUUUAGGGACAUGAUGAAAGUUAAUAUCAUAAUUAGCUUUCUUUAGCUUUGUUUCAAGUUUGUCCUCUCUAUUUCUCCGAGUCUGAAAUGCAAAGUAGGGGUUUUGGGGGCGGAGCUUGGAUUUGUGAUGUAGGAAAUCUCACUGUGUCUGAGCCUGCUGUUUGGGUCUGCAGAAAUACUCAGUAAUGCAAUUUUUGCGCUGAUUUUUAUCAUUAUAUGUGCCAUCUGAACAUGUAGACAACAACAAAAACACAUGAUUUUCACUGGAGUGGGUCUUUAAUAUGAUCCUAAUAUUCUGUUUUAGGCUGACACCUCUGUGUUAACAGGAAGUGAUCCGAUUCACCCGCGUUGCUUUCGCAUUACUGCACUGUUUUUUCAAAGGAAUUAUAUUGAGUUCAUUAUUUGAUUGGAAUACAUGACUUCAACUAUGGCACAGUCACAACUGCAAUUAUCAUUACACAAGAGUUGACAACAGAAGUUAUAAAUUAUAAUCACACUGGUGUUACUGAUGCGCUGGGUCUGCUCUGUUUUAUCUAACACUCUAUGAGAGGAAACUGGUGCUUUGCAUACUGAGUUGCAAGGUUCCAAGUUCGAACCUCUGCCUUUCUGUGUAGUUUGCAUGUUCUCCCUGUGCAUGCGUGAGUUCUCUCUGGAUACUCUGGGUCCCCCCACACCCCAAAAACAUGCUUGUCAGGUUUAGUAGACACUCUAAAUCCCUCAUAAGUUUAACCACUGACAUAGAGGGACAAACGUCUCAGUGGUUAAGAUAGUGGAUACUUGAUAUAUUUUGGCCAAACCGCCCGCCUUAGAUGGUUAGAAGCAGCAGGUGGAUAUAAAAGUAAUGACGUUUAUCACAGAUUUGGACUGUGCCUUCUGCCAGACUCAUUGUUGAGCCUUGUGUCCACCACAGACUGUUUGCUAAACUGGUGUCACUCAUUUGUUUCUGAAGCUGAUCUACAGCGGUCUAACAUUCAGUCAGCCUACUAAAGGUGGACUUUUCGCCUCCUCUCAAAUAACUACAGCAGGCCUGCUUUUUUAUCAUCUCAGCCGUGCCCCUGAUUUGCCGAUCUUGCAACUUUAAUGACAUUGAAAUGAGUGUGUUACAAAAAAAAUCCUUCUUAUGUAGUGGGUGCUGUGGGAGCCCUGAGCUACUCAGACCAGAACUUGCUUCUUUUAGCUCUAAAAAGUUUUUUUUUUUUUUUGGCUGAGUGUUUUUGUGAUUUCUGGAGGUUCUGCAGCCAUCUUCAAGAAAUCUGCAACACUUUCGUAUCAGCUUCAUUUCUCUGACCCAGAGGUUGCCACUUAGUUUCCAUGUAAGUAUGUGCUCAGAGGUGAGUCAACAGGAGAUCUAUUCAUUCCUAUGGGGAUCUCUGUGAUAUUUCAUAUGCUUUCAGCCCUCCAAAAUAUUUUCUACCUUAAGUAUGUUAACAACAAAUUGGAAUUUUUUAAUGGAUUCUCAAGGGACUGUAUGACACUGCUGUCUCUGAGCCAACAGGCCACUAACAAUCAUUUGAAUGUGGAUUAACUUUGUGUGAUUAAAAAAAAGUGGAAAACAAGAUAUACACCCUGUUGCCACUUGCAGAGGCUAUUUUCCUUAACUCAGUCGCUCACAAACCCUCUGAACCAGUCGUUGUUGUCGAGCCCUGUGAUGUUGUAACACUGCGCCAGCUCUUCUGCUGAUGCUGAAUUGGAUGGAGAUGGUGGAUAAUGGUAGCCUAUGGCUUUUUUCGUGCUAAAUACCUCACCUCGCUACUGUGCCUGAAAAGUCAAGCAGCUAUUUGCUUGAGUUGCCGGGUUAAUUGCAUUCUUGCUCAUAAUGAACUGCUCCAGGGUUCAAUUGGAGGCAAGCUAAACCCCCUCUUUUAGGUGGUCUUGGCUCAGGGGUUUUGUUUCACAUGAGGGUGCAAUUGUUGUGUUCAUGUAUGUUUAAAAGGUCCAUGCCAAGGAAGGACAUGUCUCUGUUUAAAUCAGCAACAUUUAAACAUGAUAUAAUGUUAUUUUAAAGUUAUUUCUGUGGUUGGAUGAGGGGUCUUCACUAAACUGAACAAACUGAUUAUACCACAGAAACUGUUCGUUUAAUGAGUCUCCUUACCUUCACCGUAAAUAUCCCUGCUUCCCUUCUCCACAUCAGCUCUCAUAGACUCUCAGCUCUUGAGAAGUUCAGCUCUCUGGCAGCUGUAAGGAAAUAUCAGCCCUCAAACAUCAAUACACCUGCAGCAUAUUCUUGGUGUGUCUGGUCAGAAAAAAAAGAGGGGCCUAAUACUGACAGAAAAUACACUCAUGAACUGAGGUGUGGAAAAAUCGAAGGUGCUCAAUCGAAGUGUUGGUUAGAUGUAUAAAAUAACAGUGUUCAAGCUGAGGUUGAGGUGGACCCAGAAGAUGAGUAAGCUGUAAAGUCUAUCUAAAGAAAGUGAAGGAAAAGGAGUGCAAAGACCACUUAAAGGAGCUGUAAAAGAGCAUGCUUAAAAAACAAAACACAUAUGUACAUUUAUUAGUUAUAAACAGAUAACUGAUUCAUUUUAAACAAUUUAAUUCUGUCUAAAGAUACUUGAAUCAACUACAUCAUGUUCGGCUCUUCCAUUUUGAACAGACCUAAAAGAUGAGCAGAAAUAUAAAGACCACCAGUUCUAAAAAAGUAGAGACACAUACUGUUGGUCAAAUGGAGAUAAAAACAGAUUUUGAUGGUCUGCAAAGUAUUUCAACUCAAUAAUAAGUGAAAAAGUGCUAAGAUAACACAUCACAUGUUGAACAUAGAGAAAUGCAGUAAGGCCAGCUACACAUACGGACUCUUCUACUACAGAGCCAUGUUGUCAAGUUAGUCGUAGAGUGUGUUUUGACUUUGUCCCCCUGAAAUAUUCAAUGUCUUCCCCGAUAAAGACAUUGUCUGAAUUGUCUGCUCAUAAAUCUUGACAUAUUGUUCUGCACUGAUGGUGCCAUCCUAGAUGUGAAAGCUACACACGUCAUGGGCAUUGAUGCAACCUUAUGUCAUAAGAGAUACCGUCUUUUGAACUGUGCCAAGCCAAACAACCCGUCUCCAUUUCCAAAAAGAAUGUCAAAUUUUGAUCAGACAUUAAUGGAUCAUUAUUAUACAUAAAUUCCUCUUUACAUGGUAUAAAAUUUUAAUCUGCACUUGUGGAUACAACAACAAACUGUUCACAGAUGAUGGUUUUUUGAGUGGAUUUUCACAGUGAUUUCCACUUCAGACAUCAUAUCCUUUUUAAUGCAGUACCGCCUGGAGGCCAACCACUACUGGUUUUCAGCCUUGUCCCUUUCGUACAAAGAUUUCUCUGAAUCGUUCGAUGAUAUUUUGUACUGUAAGCAAUGAGCUCCAUGAAUUUGAAAUUUUACCAGGCAACAUUAUUGUAUUACUGUCGAACUAGUUGCUCACGCAGACUCUCUUGAAUCUCUUUAUAUCCUUACUUCCCAGAAACCGAGCAUCUGGAGUGCCCUUUUUUUUUUACACCCAGUCGUAUUACUACCUUUAUUUGAUGAAAAAUAUUCUUCUUGGUCUUUUUUUAAGCAUUACACAACUGAAAAAUGCUGCUAGGACUACAGUUAUACAGACAUCUGAAAUAUAAAUUUUGCACUGUUUCUGAUUAAAUAUAGGCUUUAAAUAAUUUGCAAACAAUCAAUUUGUAUUUUUUGAUCAAUAUUUUGAGCAGCAUCCUAUAGCUGUUUUAGAAUUGGGGCUGUAGUUGAAUUAAUCUUGGAUGACUGCACAGCUAAUCCGAAUCUAGUCUCCAUAAUGUAAAGGUCUAUGACUUUGAACAGAUUAUAAAUAAAGUAUCUUUUAAUUUCCCAAGCUUUCCCCAGGUAAAAGAACAUUUUUAAAACCCACCACUCUCUCUUAUGUGAGCAUGAAUAGAUUUAUUUCUGCAGAUGACUCAUAAAACCACUUUAACUGCAUUAACAGGGAACUUACUGAGGAAAGAAAUGUUUAUUCAUAUUAAUCAUGGUAUUAAUAACUGUAAUAAUAACUGUGAUAAUAAUGUACCAAUAUCUGUAAUAAAUAGUAUUGUUUCUUUGAAGCACAUUGGGAGCAUACAGAAAUUAAACCUGGAAAGAAACCAAAACAAAUCAAGAAAAACAACCAAACCCGGCAGGUACAGGUGCUGAACAGAAACAGAUUGGAUUGCACAGGUCAAGUAAAGCCACAGCCACACAUGAAGAAGAGUCUUUUUGUUGUUCUAAUAUACAGUAAUACAAGUUCUGCUGUUUACAGAGAGAAAGGGAGGAUCUGUACAGAAGAAAUACAAAAGCACAUUGAAGCCUCAAACAGAUAAAACAGACGGACAAAUACAAACAGAAUGGAAGGAAAUUCCUCUUUUUCUUUCUAUUUACUCACUAUCACCAUUCAAACCUUUGUGCUUUGGGGAUCUGCAUAGGACUGGGGGGCCGUGAGGGUUUAGGGAGUGACGUGGGGAUGUAAAGGCAACAGUUUACUCACAACACAAGUACUAAGUAUGUGGAUAUGAUCCUUUUGAUUUUUAUUUUGGCUUUUUUUGGAUGGGACAGUUUGAAGGGGAGAGGCAGGGAACAUGGGGUAGGACUGGAGGAUGACAUACACCCAAUUUUUCAGGGACAGGGAAUAGAGUCUACAGCCAGUAUGAUGAGGACUGUGCCCUCUGUGUCUAAGGUGCCUGCUCCACCAACUGUGCUCAUUGACAUCUUAAAUCUGCUUAAAUUAAAAUACAAUUGAACAAGUUACAACAACAACAAAAAAUAAUCACUGGAUAUAAUUUGAUACUCAUAGGGGCACAUAAAUACUUUAGAAAGGGACAAUAGGCAAUAAACUUCUUUUUUUACUGUAUUUCCAAAGAGAUAGACAAGUUGGUAGAUUGUUCUGAGGCAGAAACUCUUAUUUCUCUUUUGUUGUCCUUUCCUAACUAUGAAAUUUAAGUUUUUUUGUACCUAGAGUGGCCUCAAGAUUAGAAAAGCACGGUAAAUUUCAUUAGGAUUUCCUUUGCAGCACCAAAAAAAAAAAAAAAAAAGGGUGGACAAAAAAAAAAAACUUCUUGCCGAACAAAUUCUUAAUUUCUUACUUAGACCUUAAAUUCCUGAACUGCAGUGAAGCCAUCUCCCACUGGAGCUGUUGCCAUGAUGCCACAAAGCUCUACUACCCUUAUGUAAACAAGCACAGCUAGAUGGUCGAUGGCCUCUUGUAAUUUGAUGCAGUUUGUUCGUAUUCUAAUGAAGAUAAAGUUGUGUACAGGCGGUGUCUAGAGUUUUCAUACCUUUAGAUAGAUAGAUAGUUGUAAGUUUGUAAUUUCUAUUAUUUCAAAAGCUUACUGAUACGGAAGCUUCAAAAUAUGGUAAUCUGAGCAUGUGCAGUAAAGAUCCAGUUGGUUAAAAUAAAAUAAAAAGUUUCGUUGAAGCAAUAAUCAGUUGAAGUGCUUCACUGUAGAUCAUGUUGUGCUUUCUUUCUGGCAAUUUGGAGCGAACACUGCAAAAGUUCAUAAUUUGGUAAAUCUGUGCAGCUUAAUUUUGGGUCAAUAUAUAGAUUACAUAAUGCUUUGUUGCAUUUCUUUACAUUUUAUUUCAUUACCUUUAUAAUUUAAAGUGAUUUCUCAUCUUUUGGCUUAAAAAACAAACAAACAAACAACCAAAAAAAAAAAAGAAAAGAAAAGAAAUAAAAAGGAACCAAACACGUUUUACUUUCAAGUUUUAAUGUUGUUUUCCUGACCCAAAGUUUGCUAUAAUACAUCUACACUGCAUAAAAAGGGUACUUUUCCAGAUUUCACAUGACUUUUUGCUUACUAAAGUGAAAUAAGAGAUAAGUAAAUGACAUCCUAGUAUAACUUUUGAACAAAGUAGUUUCAGUGUUUUAUUUUAUUUUGAUUAAGACUGGAAUAACAAAUUUGAUACUUUUCUGAGGAUCCUGGAUAGAUGACUAAAGUUUUUGAAAGUGGAGAGUUUCUGUAGAUUCACUGUGUCUCUGCAGGAAGUAUACUGUUGCCUUUCAGGUGGAGGUCAGCGGACAGGGGAGGUAGGUGUGGUUGUGAGGGUGAGAGGGGAGGAGGAGGGGGGAGGUGAGGUCUGUUUGCCAGGAGGUUUUAGAGGAUAAUAGCUGCUUAAGGGCUUGCAUCUGAGGUAUACACAUUAUACUGGAAUAUAGGGAGAGUUUUGCAGAAGACCCAGUCAGGUUUUGGUAGGAAGCUCAAGGAUUGUUUGUAUAGUAUGUGCACCAUGGAUGUUUUCCUAAAGGGUGGAGGGGCUCUGCAGGGGGGAAAGGAUGGAGGGACUACGGGCUAAAAGCAGAGGAGGACAUGCUAGCCUGAACUGAACGGUUUUCUCAGGGUUACAGUACUCAGCCACAGAGAAUACCAGCAUUAGAAAGAAAGCUGCUUCACACCCUUUUUUUUAAUCUCUCCCACUGCUAAUGAAUGGACAGCAUUUACAGUACGUGUAAACAGGACAAGAGUGUUUAACCAACAGCAGGAAGAACAGAAAAGUUCAGGAUGAGAAGCAGAGAUCUGAGGAUACCUGGAUCUCUGCUAAGAUUGACAUCGUUAGUUGUUUUUCAGUAGUUUUUUUUUUCUGUGUUUGUUUUCAGUAAAGUCCCAGUCUGUUUCUCUUCUGACUCAUUUUGUUCCAGUUUUUUCAGAAGUGGACCGCUGUGGGUCGGUGGUGGACAGGUUUUUUAAGAAAAGUCACUCCACCAGAUGCACCCGCACACACCCGUGUUAGUCUUUGAAGAAGUUUUGAAGAAGUCCAUCCAGAGAACAGUCGUGAACUGUAAAGAAGCGGUUUCCUCCACUGUGCCACACACACUUUGUACAGCAGACAGAGAACCAAGCAACACUGGGGGGAUCACCAAGUUCUAACACACAAAAUCAAAAUCAGUUUGACCCGAACACCAGAGGAGUGAAUCCUGCUGACUUAGAGGGGACGGAGAGAAAGACAAAGACAAAGAGGAGGAGGAAGGUGUCCAGCUCUGUGUAACUUUAUAAAGUGGACAAAAGAACAGGAGUGAAACAAAACUCUGAUAUCAGUGAGGGGUGCUUAACUGUCUCCACACACCAGGCGUGAGUAAAAUCAUUCAUGCAAAUGAUUUACAUGGUAAGUCAAUGCAAAGACAAGGUAAGAUGCUUGUAUUACUCUGGCGGUGCAGAUAAUGCGGAUUGGGCUGGAGCUGAAAAUGUCUCAACUUGAGCGGAUAUUUGUGUUGCGAUAACCAAUCAGCACUAAGGUUGCCGGGUGACGUACGAAAACAGACAGUUGUUCACUGGUAUCUAAAAUGGAGGACAAACUGAUUGUGUCGGUGUGUGGGUGCCCCGAAUAACAUGAUACUGGAAUAAAAAGGAGCUCGCCUGGAGGCAAGUGAGUGAGAAGGUGGGAUUACCUGGUAAACUGUAAAAAGCUUUGUCUAUCACUCCAUCCCGCCGGUUGAAUUGGCAGGGAUUACCAUUGAAAUUACUGUUGCGAAUGAAGCGAGGAUACUAUUCAUUCACGUGUCUAGAUUCGCUCGAAUUAAGCGAGUGAUUUUACUGGCGUUUGGUAUGAGCGCCCCAUAAGAGUUAACAAAAAAUUUUUAAGCUUUGAAUCCAGUAGUGUACGCACAAAGGUGUUUGUAAACUGAUGAGGAAGGCCCCAACCAAGUCUGGCAAAAAUACCAAAGAAGAGCCACAAAUUACUUCAGAUUCAGGGCUGUGUGCUCAAGUGGCCUGUGACAGAUCUUACCAUGUAUACUGGCCUGGUCUGAAUCCUUUUUCUGUCUAAGCCAGAAGAAAUAAAACCAGAUGGUUUCUUAGUUCUGUUUUUUAAUUAGUGAUCCAGAUCAGUUAGAACCAGCUCUGAUGGCCAUCAAAAGGCCCUACGAAUCCAAGUCAUGAACACAUCCUGUGAGAAAGGUCAAGUAGUGUUGUGGGAGUGUGCGUGAAAAGUGGUGCUUCAUUUACAGAUAGUUCAAUAAAAAUAGUAAAAGCAAUGAGAUAAUGAUUUGAUUGGUAUUAGUACGGUAAUGUAAUGUAUUUGCCACAGGGACACAUUACACUACUAUCAAUAUCUUGAUCAACCUUUGUUUGUCUCCUGUGUUUUGUCCACUCCAUGUACCUCUGAGCAGAGUGCAUCCAAUCCCUUGUACUCCCUGUUUUUCCUCCUCCUCCUCUUCUCCACCCCCUACAUUGCAUUCACACAGCACCUUGAUAACACCCAAGGGGGGUGGGAGACAAAGACAGUAGGAGAAGAGACAAGGAGAAAUCACUGGAAGAAAAAAAAUCAAUAGUUCAAAGAAUUUCUUAUAAUCUUUCCCUCCUCCGUCCUGUCUUUCUCUGACACAAAGGUCGGGCCGCCCCGCCUCUCCUUGUUUUUAUCAAAUUUGAAAAGCCUGGCUGUAAAAACUUCUGACUGUCUCUCCAUUCGGAUCCCACACUGGCUGCAGGACACUGGUUUUCCCUUUAAAUGCUUCCUCCAUCUUUACCUCUCUAAUUCCCUCUAUUUCUUGCUCUUCCUCUUUUUUUGGCCAUGGCGUUACAGUCUGUCUGGGUCAGCAGAAGAAGAAGAAGAAGAAGUCCAGCAUAUUAUCAGAAACAUUUUUGCUAUAUCAUUUACACAUGUAUAUAAUUUACAGAAUACUGUUUGUUUUUUUUAAGUAGUAUAGAAAACAACAACAUCUACCUAAAAAGUUUUACAUUCAGUAGCUGAACUGAAAGGAAACCCAACGAAUGUCAACAGAAUUAAACAUCACACAAGUAGAAACCUCAUCAUACAUCGACAGUGCAUUGAAUCCUGCAUGAAAGUUGGAAAUCAAAGGCAAACUAAUGUCCAAGAGUUGCAGAUCACAAAUAGAUAUAUCUAUAUUCAUAUAUAAAUGUUUUUUUCUUCUUACUGGUAAUACAAUAAAUACAACAUUAGUAAAUGGCUACAACUGACUCUCUGACCAUGCCUGACAGCAUGUUAUUAGUACAACGUUUAAAUAUAGAAGGAUGUCACUAAAGUAGAGAUCCAUAUAAAUAGAAAGGUUUAAAGAGACUCUUAGGAAAACUUUGUGACACUUUUUUAAGACUUCACAUGGGGCUCUCUUCCUCCCUCGUAUCCCACCAUCUCUCCCCUCUCUGUGGUGGAAGUCGAGGAAGAUGGAUGGAAGGAGUUUCCUUUGACGCUUCCCAAGCGGACAGCUCCCAUGUUUCUAAUUUGUACAACCCACUCAAACUGCCGGUUCCACCCACCACCCUUUCCCACCCCUACCCCACCCACCGCCCAACACGAUGUACAAAAGCAGUUUACUACACAGCACAGCCACCUCAAACCACAACACUACAAUGACAUGUUUGGUCAGGGGCUGCCGGGCCUCCAGCAGACAUGACCUACUGCUUCAGCUUCAGCUCGGUCUUUUCUUCUUCGGAGAAAUGUAGGGGUACUUACUCGCUUUAUACUUAACUUUUGAAAUCUACAAAAGGCAGACAAAACUAACAGGUAGUAACAACUACACUACUGCCGUUUGUUUGUGGAAGACAGGCUGAAAAGCUUUUGACUAUCUAAAGAUUACUCCUUGUUUGAAUCAUAUAGCGACAUGUCUGCUGGACCAGCUACCCCCCCAACCCCUCAUAACACACUCACACUUACCCACAAGACCACUCACACAUACACGCCGAGUCUAUACCCUCCCAAACACCUCUGCCCCAUCCAGUAGAGGGUCAGGGGGGCCGGUCAGAAGACUGGGGGGAAGCUGGCAUCUCCUUACUUCACCUCCUUCUUCAAAUUGCAAAUGCCGUUUAUCCCCAAGUUUCUUUUUUUUUGUAUACAUACUUACUAUAUUACACACAUAUAAUAUAUCAUAUGUAUAUACGUACAUUAGUGUUUGCUCUUUUUGGAAAUCAUAAACUUAAAAAAGUUUACAAAAAUAAAAUGUUUUAUGGUGACCUCUCUAAUUGGUCUCUUACGCUUAGCAAGGCUUGUUUGUCAGGGGUCAGAGCCAGCAGGCUCCCCUACCCCUGGACUACAGGCUCAACGGUUCAGGCCCCGAUUCAGAGCAGGUCCACAAACAUCCAUCGUCCAUUCCUCAGAUCCUCUUUCAUUCCUGAUAGAAGGCCGGGCUCCUUUACAAAUCUGCUGUCUUUGUUUAAGUUGAUGUUUUUUUAAGCGUCCUUCUGUGUCCACGUUGUUCUUCUCUUUUUUUGUGUUGAUGUCCAUCUCUACUCAUCCCUCUAGUUUGUCUUUUAUUUACUAUAAAGAGAGAAAACAAGCAGGUCAGUGUAAAGAAAACUUUCAUCUACGCUGUGAAGGGUAAAAUUGCCUCAGUACAAUAUGAAGGACAAUCAUUUUAUUUUUAUUUAUCAUUCAAACAUCAAAACAGACCAUCUUUAUCAUCACUUUUUCUUCACAUUAUAACCAGGAAUACAUUUAUUUUUAAGGAAUCAUCUUCUGAAAUGAUGCUAGUCCACACUUCAUCAAAAUCUGUGACAACAACACCAACCAAGUUUCACCAGCUUCAACUCUCAGUAGGUUUCCUUGAUGCUGAAUUAAAGCAUAUCAAUUUCUGGUACAAAUGGGAUAACACUCAAAAUGAAGACCACUUGGAAGUCAGCUUAUGGCUUAGCGAAGGAUUAAUUUCUGAGGCUGUAGCUAUUAACCAAUUGGAUUUGCGACUGACUUGGCAAGUUAUGACUUUUCAUGGCCAGGAUCUUGGAAGUCAAAGCCAAAAAUCCACCAUAACUUUCAUUAGACAUUUGCUUUAAAUGCUGAUUGGUUGUUAGUUGAGAUUAGGGAUCAAUUUGAUGGAUUACUGGCCUGGAUAGAAGAUUUCUACCUGGAUUAGUUCGAGGCAUACUGUAAACAACAACAAAAACCCCUGGACUUGACCGCUGGCUAAAGCUAAACAUUAGCUUCUAUGUUGGUUACCAACUAAACCAGAGCAGUGACUCGGACAUUAGCACAGAUAGAUUACAGUGUGAACACGGGCACCCUAAAGCUAGACACUUACUCCAUUACCGACUGACUCAUGCUGUGUUACAGUUACCUCUGAAGUUGGAUGUCAGAGCUGGGAAUGAUGUCUACUGUUAGCCGAUGUUAGCUGUUGUUAACAAUUGUCAGCUGUUGUUAGCCCUUGUUAGUUGUUUUUAGCGGUUGUCAUCUGUUGUCAGCUGUUGUUAGUUGUUGUUAGCUAUACCAGUUGUAAACAACACAUAACAGUAUAGAAUAGUUUACUCUCACAAACACCAUAGCACUGUGUUCACAGUUAGACGUGCUAAUAAAUAACAAAUUAUGAGAGUUUUCCCUGUUACUCUUAAGUGUUGAAGCACUGCGCUGCCAUAUUGGAUUGUGAUGUUGUCGUCAAGUUGGGGUUGGUGAGGAUUGUCCAACUUUCUGAUUCAAAAUUCCAACUUCAGGGGGGCGUUCCAGGUGAAUUUCCAACUCGUAACUCGGAAAUCCCUACUUCUGAGUACAACUGAAACACAGCAUCAGUAGCCUUCAGUAAGUAAACAAAUAAAUUGGCUAAAUUUGGUAAUUCUGGCAAGAAACUAGUACCCCAAGUCAACACGCGACUGGGCUGACAUCAAGCAUAUCUUGUUCUUGCGAAAUCGUUCAAACGCGAUCUUCCAUGAUAAUUUGAUGGGAUGUGAUGAUGAAUUUAUUCUAAAGUAACUUAAUUAGCUAAAUGUCUGUAGGAGUUCUUGACCGGACACACACAAAAACCAUGACGUUACAUGUAUUUACUAAAUUAGGUAAAGACUUUAAGGUGUUACGUCCUCUGAAGCAUGGAGGAUGUGAUCAGCUUUUUGGUCGACUCCGUCAGCUUUGUAUAAGCCACGAAAAACAAAAGUAUUUUCAUUGACCAUCCAAGAAGACAAGCACAAAGUGUUCCAGGAAACUUUUCUUUCUGCACAGGAUGAUCCUGAUUUUCUCACUUUGAGAAAACAAGCGGCACAUCGCACUCCAACAGCAGAGGGAAGAGCGAGGAGGAGCGGAGAGAGCGAGGCUGGCUAUUUCCUGGGAGGCUCUCAUCUUUGCAGAGCGCCUUUAAUUCUUGGAGAUGAGCAGAGGUGCUGUGUGUGUUUGAGAGUGUGUAUACGUGUGCGUGUCAGGGGGGAGGAUGGAUCUUCAGAGAUGAGAACAGAAGAAGCCGACUUUAAUUUCAGCAUAGCUUUGUAGUUGCUCUGUCCCGCCUCUCCGAAGAGAAACAAAGAGAGAGAGACAGAACCUGCUACACCACUGAGUCGCCAAUCACAGCCAAUAACGCCGUCCUCUUGUCUCAACUCAGCCCCCCCCCAAGAUACAUUUUCAUAUCCGGGCCUUUGUGAGAAUUUAG
rnacentral:lncRNA from 1 species